UACGGAGGGGGCUAGCGUUGUUCGGAAUUACUGGGCGUAAAGGGUGCGUAGGCGGCGAUCCAAGUCAGGCGUGAAAGCCCCGGGCUCAACCUGGGAGGUGCGCUUGAUACUGGAUUGCUCGAGUCCGGGAGAGGAUAGCGGAAUUCCCAGUGUAGAGGUGAAAUUCGUAGAUAUUGGGAAGAACACCAGUGGCGAAGGCGGCUAUCUGGACCGGCACUGACGCUGAGGCACGAUAGCGUGGGGAGCAAACAGG
rnacentral:rRNA from 1 species